AGCUGUGUGCAGUGUCAGUAUCAUAGCCAAUGAGGUUUAUCCGAGGCGCAAUUAUUGCUAAUUCAAAUAAUAGAUGUAUUAAUGAAUUACGUAUUUUACACUUACAUAUCUCAAUUCACACUUCAAGUG
rnacentral:snRNA from 1 species